GAAAUAUGAGAAUCAAAAUUAAGCUUCUAACUUAAAUUAAAGCAGCGAACUACUGUUUAUAUUUCU
rnacentral:tRNA from 1 species